rnacentral:rRNA from 1 species
AGAGUUUGAUCAUGGCUCAGAAUCAACGCUGGCGGCGUGCCUCAGACAUGCAAGUCGAACGCGAAAGUCCCCUUCGGGGGGCGAGUAGAGUGGCGCACGGGUGAGUAACACGUAGGUAAUCUACCUUUGGAUUGGGAAUAACCACCGGAAACGGUGGCUAAUACCGAAUAAUGCAGCGGCACCUAAUGGUGACAGUUGUUAAAGCGGGGGAUCGCAAGACCUCGCGUCUGAAGAGGAGCCUGCGGCAGAUUAGCUAGUUGGUAAGGUAACGGCUUACCAAGGCGAUGAUCUGUAGCCGGCCUGAGAGGGCGGUCGGCCACACUGACACUGACAUACGGGUCAGACUCCUACGGGAGGCAGC